CGAUGACUCGUGUCUUUUCCGC
rnacentral:siRNA from 1 species